rnacentral:rRNA from 1 species
UACGUAGGGUGCGAGCGUUAAUCGGAAUUACUGGGCGUAAAGCGUGCGCAGGCGGUUUGUUAAGACAGGUGUGAAAUCCCCGAGCUCAACUUGGGAAUGGCGCUUGUUACUGGCAAGCUAGAGUGUGUCAGAGGGAGGUAGAAUUCCACGUGUAGCAGUGAAAUGCGUAGAGAUGUGGAGGAAUACCGAUGGCGAAGGCAGCCUCCUGGGAUAACACUGACGCUCAUGCACGAAAGCGUGGGGAGCAAACAGG